rnacentral:rRNA from 1 species
GACGAACGCUGGCGGCGUGCUUAACACAUGCAAGUCGAACGGAAAGGCCCUGCUUUGGUGGGGUGCUCGAGUGGCGAACGGGUGAGUAACACGUGAGUAACCUGCCCUGGACUUUGGGAUAACUUCAGGAAACUGGGGCUAAUACCGGAUAGGAGCUCCGGCUGCAUGGUGGGGGUGGGAAAGUUUCGGCGGUUGGGGAUGGACUCGCGGCUUAUCAGCUUGUGGGUGGGGUAGUGGCUUACCAAGGCUUUGACGGGUAGCCGGUCUGAGAGGGUGACCGGACACAUUGGGAGUGAGAUACGGCCCAGACUCAUACGGGAGGGAGCAGUGGGGAAUAUUGCAAAAUGGGCGGAAGCCUGAUGCAGCAACGCCGCGUGCGGGAUGACGGCCUUCGGGUUGUAAACCGCUUUCGCCUGUGACGAAGCGUGAGUGACGGUAAUGGGUAAAGAAGCACCGGCUAACUACGUG